AGGGAGACGGUGCAUAUCCAUAGGAGCCAUUAGCAGAUUUACAGGAGCACUCCAUUAUUCCGGAGGUGCUAUUUGGCUUAUUAUUUUGGGUACAUAUUUGGGCACAGCGGGGUCCUAUCCCGUCCUCACGUCUAGUACUCUAGUAGAGGCUCGGGAACGUUUGGGCUAUUGAUUGGAAGUUGGUUUUUGGCCAUUGGGGGUUGACUUGGUUAAAUAUACCUCUGAUGGGAAUUUCGAGACACGAGCUAGUUUGUAGCAUGUUUUUAUGUAUGUGUGAAUAUUUUUUUGUAUCUGGGUGGUCUCGGAUGUAUGUCGGGAUUUAGGGUGAACUUGGUGAAAAACCAGAAUUUUACUAGUUACUGAUGUCUUGGCCCAGCAGACCCACCUCAGCAGGGCUUGGUCCAUUGGCACGGGAACUCUGUGAUUUAAAAAAAAUCCGCCCCAGCCGAUGGUAUUCCGCCGAGACGAAUGCGCGGCAGCAGGACCACUUCCGCUGCAGCGGAAGAUGCUAUUCCAGAAUCAUUAAUUUCCUAAACUAAACCCUUCAUUUCCCAUUAAUUCUCCAAAGUGACUCAAGGGCGAUUUGAAGUGUUUUCUGAGUGGAUUCAUCUUCGGGUACUGAUUUUCAGGACGACGCACCUACCUAGUAGGAUCUCGCACUUGUUAGCUUAUUGGAAAGUGUUGAAGCUUUGUUGAACAUGUUGAGACUUCCUGCCUGGGAAUGAGCAUGCAUGCACACUAAUGCCACCCAUAACAAGAUUCCUCACCAGUUCAUCUCUAUUUCAACACAAGAAGUAUAAAUGGCCUAGACAUGCAUCAUAGUUAUUUCAUUGUCUUAACAGAAUCAGUAGCAAUGUCUGAUUCAAGCUAUAACUCAUGUAAUUUAUUAUCCUUCCCAUGUCUGAUCCUAAGAUUAGUAAAAUUGAGCUUUGUCCAUAUUGAGAAGUCUUUUAGCCUUGAUUGAA